AUUAUGUAGCAUACCUACCUACUAAUACAUUUGACGCUUUUCAAUUAAAACGGUUUCGUCGUUAGUUUGUUCAAUGUUGAGUCAUCGGUAUACUCAUAAUAUAAUGGCCACUAUACGUGCAAUACGGAUCUAUACGCACAACACUUAGUAUGGAUAAAAACUUUAGCUCUGCAGAAUCGAUUUUCGUAAGCGGUCGUCCGACGCAAAUUUCACUGCAACUCACCCUCUGUCCAUGUACCUAAACCUACUGCACACGCACACAUGCAGUCAUCAGCGGUUUUGCACUAUGGAACGCUAAAAAUUGACCUUGGCUUAGAACGGAAAUAGAGAAUAUAGUGAUGGCUGGUGUAACUUUUAUACAAUUACUGCUAAUAAGGAACAAUAAUUGUAUUAUAUAUUUCUACAGCUAUUCCAAUAGGUAACAAUUUAAUUCAUAACAGUUGAGCAAUACUAUUCUUAACCAACGCUGUACGUGUUGCUGUGAAUUUAUAACGUAUUCACAUGGUUCUUUUUGUUACUUUGGUAGAAAGAAUAAUUACGUACAGACAAAUUAUGUUUUAUAUUCCUAGUUAUGUAUUGUGUUAUGUGUGUACAAAAAUAUAUUUAGCAUAUUUCAGGUUUUACAUGUUUUCAGGUCAUUACUCACGUUUUUAUCAAAUAUAUUUAAUUACAGUUUAAUGUUCAACCUAGAAACUAAAAAAGAAGUUUUUUUUUUAAUAAAAAUUAAUACCUAUUUAAUAUCAAUAAAUUUGGCUUUUGGUUUCAUAAUUAAAAUAUUUUAAAAUUGUUGUUUUUGUUAAGCAUUUGUUGGUGAAUUUAAAUAUGGAUACAUAAAAAAGUAUAUACUAAUGGCAAUAAUGCAAUAUACGAUACUUAAAAAUAAGAAUUACAAAA